CUCCAGAUGUUGCUGAACUACAACUCCCAUGAUUCUAUGAAUGAAGUAGGCUGAGAAUCAUGGGAGUUGUAGUUCAGCAACAUCUGGAG